AUUGAACGCUGGCGGCAGGCUUAACACAUGCAAGUCGAGCGGGGGAAGGUAGCUUGCUACCGGACCUAGCGGCGGACGGGUGAGUAAUGCUUAGGAAUCUGCCUAUUAGUGGGGGACAACAUCUCGAAAGGGAUGCUAAUACCGCAUACGUCCUACGAGAGAAAGCAGGGGAUCUUCGGACCUUGCGCUAAUAGCUGAGCCUAAGUCGGAUUAGCUAGUUGGUGGGGUAAAGGCCUACCAAGGCGACGAUCUGUAGCGGGUCUGAGAGGAUGAUCCGCCACACUGGGACUGAGACACGGCCCAGACUCCUACGGGAGGCAGCAGUGGGGAAUAUUGGACAAUGGGGGGAACCCUGAUCCAGCCAUGCCGCGUGUGUGAAGAAGGCCUUAUGGUUGUAAAGCACUUUAAGCGAGGAGGAGGCUACUCUAGUUAAUACCUAGGGAUAGUGGACGUUACUCGCAGAAUAAGCACCGGCUAACUCUGUGCCAGCAGCCGCCGUAA
rnacentral:rRNA from 1 species